GGUCGAGAAUGUGAGUCAGAGGUAAUGCAGGGCUCAGAAAGGAGUAGCAGGCUUCCUCAUCCAUUGAAUAAGAAGGAUAAUAGCCAGUCUAUUACUAGUCACGGCAGGAUGGUUGAUGUUAAAGACUUGUUGAAUGUCAUGAAGCGACAAAACGAGAUUACAGAGCUCCUAGUAAAACAACAGAAAGCAUCCACUCUCCCUCCUUUGGAUGUUCCAGUAUUCAGUGGGGAUCCACUGGAGUUUGGGUUUUUUAUGAAAGCAUUCGAGCAUGGGAUUGAGGAAAGGACAGACAGCAAUAGAGAUAGGUUGCGCUUCCUGGAGCAGUUCACCCAAGGGAGACCCAAGGUUCUUGUUCGUAGCUGUUCGCACAUGCAUCCUGACAGGGGCUACGCUGAAGCCAAGAGGCUUCUGCGCAAGCAUUUUGGGGAUGAAUAUACUAUUGCCUCAGCCUACAUUGAAAGAGCUCUAAAAUGGCCUGUAAUCAAGCCAGAGGAUGGUGAUGAACUGACGGAGUUUGCUAUGUUCCUCACUAGUUGCUGUAACACAGUAGACAGCAUGGAGUACAUUGAGGAGAUGGAUAGCCCUACUAAUAUGAGAACAGUCAUCUCCAAGCUUCCUUUUAAAUUAAGGGAAAGGUGGAGGGGUUUCGCCUGUGACAUUCAAGAACGUACAGCAAUGAGAGCUAGAUUCGCUGAUCUGGUCAGUUUUGUGGAGAAGCAGGCAAAGAUCGCUUCUCACCCAUUGUUUGGUAACAUUCAGGACACCACUUUGUCAAGAGACAAGGGCAAAGCAAAGGUAUGCAAAGAGAAUGCUCUGAAAUUCAAGGAGAGGGAAAGCAUCUUUGCUACUAAUACGGCACCUGUGUCAAACAGUGCGGAGCAGACAAAGAGGGAAAGGGAAAAUGUAGGCUCUACAGGUGGAAGACAUUGUCUUUUCUGUCAUAAGGGAGGACAUAACCUCAGUACCUGCAGACUCCUCAAGCAAAAGCCUCACAGAGAAAGGCUUGAUUUCCUCAAAUCAAAGAGCUUGUGUUUUGGUUGCCUGUCACAGGGGCAUCUGAGCAAAGGCUGCCAGCAAAGACACACGUGUGAGACUUGUUCUCAGAAACAUCCCACCAUUCUGCAUAAGGAGCAGUACUCUUCUCCUGAUAGUGAUGGUAAAAGUAUCAGAGAACCAGCAGCAAGUUUUUCUCCAGCAGCAGGCAGUGAAACAUGCGGU
rnacentral:lncRNA from 1 species